rnacentral:rRNA from 1 species
UACGUAGGUGGCAAGCGUUGUCCGGAUUUACUGGGCGUAAAGAGCGCGCAGGCGGCCCAAGUCAGUCGAAUGUGAAAGCCCCCCGGCUUAACUGGGGAGGGUCAUUUGAUACUGCUCGGCUCGAAGACAGGAGAGGGAAGCGGAAUUCCCGGUGUAGUGGUGAAAUGCGUAGAUAUCCGGGAGGAACACCAGUGGCGAAGGCGGCUUUCUGGCCUGUUCUUGACGCUGAGGCGCGAAAGCUAGGGGAGCAAACGGG